GACGAACGCUGGCGGCGUGCUUAACACAUGCAAGUCGAACGGAAAGGCCCCUUUGGGGGUACUCGAGUGGCGAACGGGUGAGUAACACGUGAGUAACCUGCCCUUGACUUCGGGAUAACUUCAGGAAACUGGGGCUAAUACCGGAUAGGAAUCCUUGCUGCAUGGGGGGGGUUGGAAAGCUUCGGCGGUUUUGGAUGGACUCGCGGCUUAUCAGCUUGUUGGUGGGGUAGUGGCUUACCAAGGCUUUGACGGGUAGCCGGCCUGAGAGGGCGAGCGGCCACAUUGGGACUGAGAUACGGCCCAGACUCCUACGGGUGGCAGCAGUGGGGAAUAUUGCACAAGGGGCGGAAGCCUGAUGCAGCAACGCCGCGUGCGGUAUGACGGCCUUCGUGUUGUAAACCGCUUUCAGCAGGGGCGAAGCUUGUGGUGACGGUACCUGCAGAAGAAGCACCGGCUAACUACGUG
rnacentral:rRNA from 1 species